rnacentral:rRNA from 1 species
UGGGGAAUAUUGGACAAUGGGCGAAAGCCUGAUCCAGCCAUGCCGCGUGUGUGAAGAAGGUCUUCGGAUUGUAAAGCACUUUAAGUUGGGAGGAAGGGCAGUUACCUAAUACGUAAUUGUUUUGACGUUACCGACAGAAUAAGCACCGGCUAACUCUGUGCCAGCAGCCGCGGUAAUACAGAGGGUGCAAGCGUUAAUCGGAAUUACUGGGCGUAAAGCGCGCGUAGGUGGUUCGUUAAGUUGGAUGUGAAAUCCCCGGGCUCAACCUGGGAACUGCAUUCAAAACUGUCGAGCUAGAGUAUGGUAGAGGGUGGUGGAAUUUCCUGUGUAGUGGUGAAAUGCGUAGAUAUAGGAAGGAACACCAGUGGCGAAGGCGACCACCUGGACUGAUACUGACACUGAGGUGCGAAAGCGUGGGGAGCAAACAG